rnacentral:misc_RNA from 1 species
AAGUCGUAACAAGGUUUCCGUAGGUGAACCUGCGGAAGGAUCAUUAACACGUUCCAAAACGUAUCAACCAACCGGUUAAGUGCAAACUUACUCCCUGAUCGGGGAAAGCAGUGCAACUCUCUUUAGUGAUGGGUGGGUCUUCGGAUCCGCAGAGAGAGCGGCACUAGGGUCUCGAGCCCAAUGCUUCCCCUUUUGGGCUUUUCCCCCCUUUUUUCCAUCACUUCCAACCACCAUUUUCACCCCUCGAUCAAUUAUGACUAAAUCUUUCGAACGAAGAAAUUUGUUGGAAUUGUAUAUCUAACACUGUACAACUCUUAGCAAUGGAUAUCUUGGUUCUC